rnacentral:rRNA from 1 species
GACAGAGGACACGGGUGUUAUUCGUGUUGAUUGGGUGUAAAGGGUACGUAGGCAUGUUGUCAAUGUUUUUGUUUAAAAGUGCAGAGAUGCGUUUUGCAGAUAAACAAUUCAGAGGACAACUUGUGUUGAGAGGAGGUUUGGUCAAAAUCUUCUGUAGAGGUACAAUGCUAAGAGAUUGGAUUGAAUGCCGGUGGCGGAGGCGCUCUCUAUUCUCAACAGACGCUAAGGUACGGAAGCCUAGGGAGCAAACAGG